GGCUCUGUGGUGCAACGGAUAGCACUUUAGACUUCUAAGCUAAAGGUUGUGGGUUCAAGUCCCACCAGAGUCA